AAUGAUAAUUGGAAGGAAAUUCGAGUGAAUUGAAGCAGACGUUCAAAUCAGUGCAGCAUAAAGAACAGACUAGCAUCAAAAUUUCUAAGAGGAAGUAAGGAAUAAGAACCUGAUCGGAGCAAGUCCGAUGAACCAGUUCUGGCGUCGGCUUUUUGACAGGCUCUCUUUUGAUGAAGAUGAUGCAACAAAACCUCUUUGGAUUCGCGGGAACUUUGGAUAUUAAGGAGACUUGAAGUUCAACUUCAAGUGGUUGGAAGCUUGAAGAUGAAGAUCUUCAAGUAAGGUAUGAAGAACUACCUUUUCACUCUUUGUAACUAGAACACUCACAAUAUGAGCAAUAGAGAGAAGAGAGAAAGCAAGGACUCAAGUUGCUUUGGUGUGAUUUGCAAUGAAGUGAACACUUCUAUUUAUAGGAAAAGCUUAGGAUGUGUUUGGCAAUUGGUAAUCUUGAUUGGCAAGUUUCAAUCAUUGCAAGAUAAGAAAAAGAAUAUAUUCUUCAUCAUUGCAAGAAUAAAAAAUAAGAAUAAGAAUAUUCUUAUGCAAAGAUAUUUUUCAUGAUAUAAGCCAUGUGUGUAAAUUUUUAUGUCAUUUUAUGAUAUCUCUAAGUUGCAUAAUUUUAUGACAUAAAAAUCUCUCUUUGGCUUUCUUUGACUUUUGCUAAUUUCACCCCUCUUUUGUUUUCUUUUUCAUGUCACAUGAGAACUCUUGAAGAAAGAAUGAAGAAUCUUGAACUUGAAGAAUGAAGACUUUGAAGAUUGAAGAAUUCAAGAAUGUCUUUGAAGUUUUAUUUUUCUUUUCCUUGUAAUUCCAACUUUGUAUGAAUGAAACUUUGUAAUUCUUGAAUUUUAAAUAAAGUCCCUUCAUUUGUAA